GUACGCGUGGCCUAGUGGACAAAGCGUCUGCCUUCGAAUCAGAAGAUUGCAGUUUCAAAUCCCGUUGCGGCA
rnacentral:tRNA from 1 species